rnacentral:lncRNA from 1 species
GCUCAUUCCUUCUUCAGGAGUCGUGAGUGAGAUAUGAAACAUAUUUGCUGAAAUGUAUCUGUAGCCAUCAACAAGGCAGCCUCUGUGGCGCUAGUAUAUGAUCAAUAGAUACUCAUUGUAAGAGCUUAUGGAGGAAGAGAAAAAGAAGGGCUAGACUGGAGAGGUGGGUGGACCACAGGUGGCUGGUCUCCAGGAAGUUAAAGGAAGCCAGAGAUAAAAUAAGGCAAGUUGCCCCAAUAAAAACAAAAGAUGUGAGAGGACUUACAAACAGGUAAUUAGAGUUGGCUCCAACACUAUUCACCUUUGAGCUGUGACAAGAUACAAUUUCAGGGUAUUAACUAGCCAAUACUCUCCCCCCAGCCCCUCCCAGCUCCACCCAACCCCUCCCAUAUUUUCCUUUUCCUUUGACACUAGCUCCAUCUGAGCUUUACCCUUGGCUCAGGGCUUUGAAGAAGGAAGCUACCAUCCUCAGAGACGCUUCUGAGGUUUGUUUUCAUAUCCCAUGUGCUGAAAGGAACCUCAGAAGAUCAAGGCGUUAGUCAAGAGUAGAGCUUGCAGAGUGAGAUCACACUCUCCAACCCUCAAGCAGCGUGGAGACUGAAAAUGACUAGCACAGGAAUGUAAGGCAGACUCGCUCUUAGCUUUGUAGAGCAUUUGACAAGGAAGGAGAGAAAACAAACCCAGACUGAUAGGAAAUGACAGAAAUUGUUCCUGCCACUAGAGGAGCACGGUGAAACUAAUUACAAUUAGUUACAGUUAAUAGAAAAAGUUCUAUCAAGCGCUCAACUUUUCUUGUUGCUCCAUAGGUAAAUCUGUGUGCUGAUCUC